UUGUUUGACUUAUAACCCAUUAAAUAAAGUAGUUUAAACAGUAUCGGCAGCUAUUAAACAGCGGUUACAGCUGGGAAAGUUUCCGGAAGGCUUCCAAAAGGCUUUCCCAGCUCUAAAAGCUGUUUAAUAGGUGCCAAUACACUUAUUCUAAAGCGAAAACCGAAGUAACUCAUUUUAUACAAAUUUUUUAGUUACGAGGUCCUGUUGGUAUUAUAUGUAUAGUCAAAUGUUUUUAUAUCAGGCAUAAGUGAAACCUUUUACAAUGCCUGGUCAAAUGUAAUGGGUACUGCUCCUAAUAGAUUGUUAAGUGCCUGGCACAUAGAUAGGGCAUGACAAGUAAAUCUUAAUAAAAUAUCUGAUUCUGAAAAAAAUCCUAUUAUGUAUACAAGAUGUAUUAAUGAUGGUUUAGAGAGUAUUAAGAGCUUUUUGGGUAGACUUCUAAGUGAUGCAGAUACAUACAAUUUUAGAAGUAUUUCCAGUAGAACUACUGCAAUAACAUCCAACAAUGGGCCUAUUGUUAUAGGAAGGGGUUGUGGAAUUAAUACCAAUAUGACCAUUCAAAAUUUUCAUAAAAUUUUGGAUAAAAGAGUAUCCAUUAGUUGUUAUCAGUUAAGCUUAAAACUUGGCACUCAUGGAAAGCUAUACCAUAAUAUAUAAUAGGUAUAUCUCAUAAUAUUACAUCUCAUAUUGCUCACUCAUUACAAUAGUGAGCAAUAUCAGAUAUAACAUAUUAUAGUAUAACUCUCUGUGCAUGACCAGAUUAACAUGUUUGGUGCCCAUCUCGAACAAGCUCCACUUGGCUGGUACCACAUACUUAAAUCAUUUAUUUAGUUACACAGUACUACUCACAUAACUUAUGCGUCGUCAGUACCCUCGGUAAAACCUUCGUGAUGCUACCCAUACGUCAUGGCCACUGAAUGUGUUAAAGCUUGUUAAUGUAGGAGAGUUAUACUAAAAUAUAUAUCUUAUAUUAUAUUACCUUAAAUAGAAAAAAUAUCUUAUUUAAA
rnacentral:lncRNA from 1 species